rnacentral:rRNA from 1 species
ACAUGCAAGUCGAGCGGUAACAGAUCUAGCUUGCUAGAUGCUGACGAGCGGCGGACGGGUGAGUAAUGCAUAGGAAUCUGCCCGAUAGUGGGGGAUAACCUGGGGAAACCCAGGCUAAUACCGCAUACGUCCUACGGGAGAAAGGGGGCUCCGGCUCCCGCUAUGGGAUGAGCCUAUGUCGGAUUAGCUAGUUGGUGAGGUAAUGGCUCACCAAGGCAACGAUCCGUAGCUGGUCUGAGAGGAUGAUCAGCCACAUCGGGACUGAGACACGGCCCGAACUCCUACGGGAGGCAGCAGUGGGGAAUAUUGGACAAUGGGCGAAAGCCUGAUCCAGCCAUGCCGCGUGUGUGAAGAAGGCCCUCGGGUUGUAAAGCACUUUCAGCGAGGAAGAACGCCUAGCGGUUAAUACCCGCUAGGAAAGACAUCACUCGCAGAAGAAGCACCGGCUAACUCCGUGCCAGCAGCCGCGGUAAUACGGAGGGUGCAAGCGUUAAUCGGAAUUACUGGGCGUAAAGCGCGCGUAGGUGGCUUGAUAAGCCGGUUGUGAAAGCCCCGGGCUCAACCUGGGAACGGCAUCCGGAACUGUCAAGCUAGAGUGCAGGAGAGGAAGGUAGAAUUCCCGGUGUAGCGGUGAAAUGCGUAGAGAUCGGGAGGAAUACCAGUGGCGGAGGCGGCCUUCUGGACUGACACUGACACUGAGGUGCGAAAGCGUGGGUAGCAAACAGGAUUAGAUACCCUGGUAGUCCACGCCGUAAACGAUGUCGACCAGCCGUUGGGUGCCUAGCGCACUUUGUGGCGAAGUUAACGCGAUAAGUCGACCGCCUGGGGAGUACGCCGCAGUAAACUCAAUGAUUGACGGGGCCCGCACAGCGUGAGCAUGUGUUAUCGAUGCACGCGAGAUCUACUACUCUGACAUCUGCGAUUGUAGAGAUACUAUGCUCGACGCAAGACAGUGCUGCA